AGUGAACGCUGGCGGUAGGCCUAACACAUGCAAGUCGAACGGCAGCACAGUAAGAUCUUGCUCUUACGGGUGGCGAGUGGCGGACGGGUGAGGAAUACAUCGGAAUCUACUUUUUCGUGGGGGAUAACGUAGGGAAACUUACGCUAAUACCGCAUACGACCUACGGGUGAAUGCAGGGGAUCUUCGGACCUUGCGCGUUUGAAUGAGCCGAUGUCGGAUUAGCUAGUUGGCGGGGUAAAGGCCCACCAAGGCGACGAUCCGUAGCUGGUCUGAGAGGAUGAUCAGCCACACUGGAACUGAGACACGGUCCAGACUCCUACGGGAGGCAGCAGUGGGGAAUAUUGGACAAUGGGCGAAAGCCUGAUCCAGCAAUGCCGCGUGGGUGAAGAAGGCCUUCGGGUUGUAAAGCCCUUUUGUUGGGAAAGAAAAGCAGCGGGUUAAUACCCCGCUGUUCUGACGGUACCCAAAGAAUAAGCACCGGCUAACUUCGUG
rnacentral:rRNA from 1 species